rnacentral:rRNA from 1 species
CCUACGGGCGGCAGCAGUGAGGAAUAUUGGUCAAUGGACGAGAGUCUGAACCAGCCAAGUAGCGUGAAGGAUGACUGCCCUAUGGGUUGUAAACUUCUUUUAUAUGGGAAUAAAAUGUUCCACGUGUGGGAGUUUGUAUGUACCAUAUUAAUAAGAAUCGGCUAACGCCGUGCCAGCAGCCGCGGUAAUACGGAGUAUCCGAGCGUUAUCCGGAUUUAUUGGGUUUAAAGGGAGCGUAGGUGGAUUGUUAAGUCAGUUGUGAAAGUUUGCGGCUCAACCGUAAAAUUGCAGUUGAAACUGGCAGUUUUGAGUACAGUAGAGGUGGGCGGAAUUCGUGGUGUAGCGGUGAAAUGCUUAGAUAUCACGAAGAACUCCGAUUGCGAAGGCAGUUCACUGGACUGCAACUGACACUGAGGCUCGAAAGUGUGGGUAUCAAGCAGGAUUAGAUACCCGUGUAGUC